GAGUACAAACAUCGAAUACACGAAGGUUCUCAGUUCACCACACAUCCAGCCCGUGCCAAGCACUAGGGCGAGAACCAUUACAAAAUAAAAAAAAAAAAAACUAGUCUAGGCUAGUCUAAACCGAGCUCCCGUCCUUGCUCGCCUUCCCCUGUUAAGGAAAACAACUAAAGGGGUGAGCUAAAAACUCAGUGAUAUUCUAUAUACAAAAACAAGUAAUUGGACAAGGACAUUAAUCAUGUAAUAACAAAUAAUCCAGAAAACAUGUCCCAUAUAAAGCAAUGAUAAUACACUCAUUAAAAGGAUACAGGCUCACGAGGAGCUAUUUGUUCGUUCGUUCGUUCCCUUGACAUUUCCCCUUAUUCCUCCAAUGAUUUGAAAAUUUCCUUUUUGAGAAGUAAAACCC
rnacentral:lncRNA from 1 species